UAAAAAUUUUGAUUGGAAAAUGCAUAUAAGAUAAGGGGGUGGGAAAAUGGAAAUUAGUGGCUUUUUUGCAGUUCUGUCUGUUAGUUUUGCUCUGGCUGGGUCUCUUUUGUUUAAACAAUUAUAAUCAGCUGAAAGUGGUCUACAAAAAAACCAGGAAGGAAACGUAUUAUAGCCUUGUUGUGGCUAUGAAAGGCAAAAGAAAGAUACCUAUAAAAAGUGUAUUGACUAGUUGGAAGAAACUCCACAUUGUCGAUGCAUAAUAAGAUAUUACUUUAUAAACAAAUAUCAAGACCUAGGAAUGGAACCUGGAUAAUAUAGUCAUCAAGAAGAUAGCAGGAGGUCAUGAGCAACAACAACUUCAUGAGUAUGAGAAUAUUGAGGAAAUCCAGCUCCUCGAUAUCUACUACUGGACAAACUAGAAGAUUGAAGAGGACAAAGCCUUUUGAACUAGUUUGAGUGAUAGGUGAUAGUGAAAAGCAGAGCGUAGUGCUUGUGUGCCUGUGUAUGUUAGAAUAGUGCACGAUCUUGUUAGAUUAGAUAAGAGACGCUAUAGGGUAAGCUCUUCAUUUUAAGGAACAGUAGUAAUUUAGGUUAAAUUAAAAUUGCUCAUUGGUCAGUUAUGACCAGAUUGUAAUUCUCUGAUGUUUGGCAAAAAGGGCUGAAGUCAGAAUUGCACAUCAAUAAUGUUUUGAUGAUUUCUGGACCAUAAAAAAAGUGUUGCAGACUUAAACUGUAUGUACCAAUAAAAAGAGCCGAUUUUUCUGGUCCAGAAAUCAUCAAAACAUUAUCGAUGUGCAAUUCUGACUUAAGCCCUUUUUCCCAAACAUCAGAGAAUUGCAAUGUACAAUUCAAUACAAAUGAAUCAUCAUCGUAGUGAUGAUUAUGGAAAAAAAUAUAUAUAUAUAUAUAGAAAUAUAUAUAUUUUGUGCAAUAAAAAUGUUUAUAUUUA
rnacentral:lncRNA from 1 species